rnacentral:rRNA from 1 species
UACGGGGGGAGCAAGCGUUGUUCGGAUUUACUGGGCGUAAAGGGCGCGUAGGCGGCCACCGCAAGUCGACUGUGAAAUCUCUGGGCUUAACCCAGAACGGUCAGCCGAUACUGCGGGGCUAGAGUGCAGAAGGGGCAACUGGAAUUCUCGGUGUAGCGGUGAAAUGCGUAGAUAUCGGGAGGAACAUCCGUGGCGAAGGCGGCCACCUGGACCAACAUUGACGCUGAGGCACGAAAGCGUGGGGAGCAAAC